GGUUAAGCGAAUAAGCGUACACGGUGGAUGCCUAGGCAAUCUGAGGCGAUGAAGGACGUGCUAAUCGGCGAAAAGCGUCGGUAAGGUGAUAUGAACCGUUAUACCCGACGAUAUCCGAAUGGGGAAACCCAGUAUCCUAUGGAUACUAUCAUUAACUGAAUCCAUAGGUUAAUGAGGCGAACCGGGAGAACUGAAACAUCUCAGUACCCCGA
rnacentral:rRNA from 1 species